rfam:Paenibacillus sp. TI45-13ar contig00086, whole genome shotgun sequence.
CUUUAAAUCCCACUACGUUCAUAUAAAAC